rnacentral:lncRNA from 15 species
GUCAUGAAACAUUACGGGGAGAUAAAUGACUGUGGCCCACUGGCAUUUAGCUGGAUGCUCCUCUGUAUGCUGGAGACGUGCCUCCUCUCCUCAAGGCCUUUAGUGGCUGAUAUUCAGCUCGGCUCUUGAUGGGUGAGGGAGCAAUAGAGCUAAUACGGCCAUGGUAGCUUUUACGGCCACAUCUAUUACAGCCACUAACUAUCUCAUUUGUCCUCCUGACCAAACAACAAUGGCGGCUGGCUGAGGUUUUUGGAGGUUUCGGCUGUGGUCGAGGUGGACUGUGCAGUCGAUUGUGUAGAGGGUCGGCUAAGUAUCAGCAUAAAUGUGUGGACAAUCUCUCUUUUUCCUUUGCAUGCUGUUUUCUUUCCCUGCACCUGUGCCCAGCUGGAGUUGGAGGUGCACGCCAUCCUCAAGCAUAAAAAAAAAGUAGGUUGUUACUUUGGCCAUAUAUUGCACUUUGUAUCUCCGUGUUGCUGUGUCUUGUUCACAUGUCACUGCCUCUGUACUGAGGGAAGUCUGAAUGUCACAGGUUAUGUUGUGAGCUGUUUACUAUAUGCAGGGACUUUCCAGGCCUGAUGCUCAAACUCAGCCUCGGAUUGUGAGAAUGUGGAUGCCUUCCAGAGCCAGAUUCCCUGAGUGUCCCUGGAGAGAGAC